CUGGUUGAUCCUGCCAGUAGUCAUAUGCUUGUCUCAAAGAUUAAGCCAUGCAUGUCUAAGUAUAAGCAAUUUAUACAGUGAAACUGCGAAUGGCUCAUUAAAUCAGUUAUCGUUUAUUUCGAUAGUACCUUUACUACUUGGAUAACCGUGGUAAUUCUAGAGCUAAUACAUGCUAAAAAUCCCGACUGUUUGGAAGGGAUGUAUUUAUUAGAUAAAAAAUCAAUGCUCUUUGAGCUCUUUGAUGAUUCAUAAUAACUUUUCGAAUCGCAUGGCCUUGUGCUGGCGAUGGUUCAUUCAAAUUUCUGCCCUAUCAACUUUCGAUGGUAGGAUAGUGGCCUACCAUGGUUUCAACGGGUAACGGGGAAUAAGGGUUCGAUUCCGGAGAGGGAGCCUGAGAAACGGCUACCACAUCCAAGGAAGGCAGCAGGCGCGCAAAUUACCCAAUCCCGACACGGGGAGGUAGUGACAAUACAUAACGAUACAGGGCCCUUUCGGGUCUUGUAAUUGGAAUGAGUACAAUGUAAAUACCUUAACGAGGAACAAUUGGAGGGCAAGUCUGGUGCCAG
rnacentral:rRNA from 1 species